AUGAAAGCGACUUUGAUCGAAAUCACCACACGAGAGAAUCUGCGCAGAGCUCAGGCUCAGUGCUCUCGCCAUGUCAGUGCCAUCUACUUUCCAUUCUCAAUUCAUACUCAGCUGGAAGAUAGCUUCCCGGAGAGUCCAGUACGAGUUUUUGUCUAUCCAAACAUCUCCCAUCCGAAAAUGUUCUUCAUGUUCAAAGACAACGAGUUCAUCAAGCCAACGCUGGCGCUGGCUCAAGUUUCGGGAACAAGCAUGAACCGCCUUGAGCUCAUCGACCUAAUCAAUGAAUUCCGUACGGAGUCGCCAUGCGCCUUUCUUCCAGCGACUGGACUAAUAAUGAUCUCAGACUCUCUUUGUUCUACAUGACAGAGUCUCAGAAAAAGCUUGCCAUGACCACACCAUUGCCUAAUGUGCCACAUGGGUAUUAUUACGACGAGAUUGAGCCAACCGAGGAAGCUGAAAUUGUUAACAACACAUGGAAGCAUGCAGGUGCUGGCGAUCUUGAGCAAACAAUGGCCAAAUUGCUUCGAUUACCUUCAUCAUGCGUCCGUUUCAACGGGAAGCCGGUUGCAUUUGAAAUGAUCGACCCGGCUGGAUUCUUCAACAACCAAUAUGUUUUCGAGGAUCAUCGCCGCAAGGGACUCGGAAAUGCAGUUGAGAUGGAUCUUAUUCACAAAACUUUAAGCAUCGGGUUUUCACCAUUCAAAACGGUUGCCAAGGACAACAAAAUUGUCUUGGACGCUUCAAUUGCCAACAAACUGUGGACAAUGUGGAGCGACGAGGAUGGAAAUGCAAAGACCAUCGUUUUCCAGACUUGGCGUUGUGACUAA
rnacentral:misc_RNA from 1 species